rnacentral:sRNA from 1 species
UGUCUUCUCCGAAAGGGGGGGAUGAGAAUCCCCGACCGGGGUUCGACAACUGGCGACAGCCAGUUGGACAGACUGUGAGCGUCGCGAACAGGCUGCCCGCAGGGCGAGCGAAGCGAGUCAAUCCCCCCCUCACCGCCA